rnacentral:rRNA from 1 species
UACGGAGGAUGCGAGCGUUAUCCGGAUUUAUUGGGUUUAAAGGGUGCGUAGGCGGUCCGUUAAGUCAGCGGUAAAAUUGCGGGGCUCAACCCCGUCGAGCCGUUGAAACUGUCAGACUUGAGUUGGCGAGAAGUACGCGGAAUGCGCGGUGUAGCGAUGAAAUGCAUAGAUAUCGCGCAGAACUCCGAUUGCGAAGGCAGCGUACCGGCGCCACACUGACGCUGAGGCACGAAAGCGUGGGGAUCGAACAGG